rnacentral:rRNA from 1 species
UCGGGAAUCUUAGACAAUGGGGGAAACCCUGAUCUAGCCAUGCCGCGUGAGUGACGAAGGCCCUAGGGUCGUAAAGCUCUUUCGCCAGGGAAGAUAAUGACGGUACCUGGUAAAGAAGUCCCGGCUAACUCCGUGCCAGCAGCCGCGGUAAUACGGAGGGGGCUAGCGUUGUUCGGAAUUACUGGGCGUAAAGCGCGCGUAGGCGGACUUUCAAGUCAGGGGUGAAAUCCCGAGGCUCAACCUCGGAACUGCCUUUGAUACUGAUGGUCUUGAGUCCGAGAGAGGUGAGUGGAAUUCCUAGUGUAGAGGUGAAAUUCGUAGAUAUUAGGAAGAACACCAGUGGCGAAGGCGGCUCACUGGCUCGGUACUGACGCUGAGGCGCGAAAGCGUGGGGAGCAAACAGGAUUAGAUACCCCCGUAGUCC